rnacentral:rRNA from 1 species
GGAAACAGGUGCUAAUACCGUAUAACAACUGAAACCGCAUGGUUUCAGUUUGAAAGAUGGUUUCGGCUAUCACUUCUGGAUGGACCCGCGGCGUAUUAGCUAGUUGGUGGAGUAAUGGUUCACCAAGGCAAUGAUACGUAGCCGACCUGAGAGGGUAAUCGGCCACAUUGGGACUGAGACACGGCCCAAACUCCUACGGGAGGCAGCAGUAGGGAAUCUUCCACAAUGGACGAAAGUCUGAUGGAGCAACGCCGCGUGAGUGAAGAAGGGUUUCGGCUCGUAAAACUCUGUUGUUGAAGAAGAACACAUCUGAGAGUAACUGUUCAGGUGUUGACGGUAUUUAACCAGAAAGCCACGGCUAACUACGUGCCAGCAGCCGCGGUAAUACGUAGGUGGCAAGCGUUGUCCGGAUUUAUUGGGCGUAAAGCGAGCGCAGGCGGUUUCUUAAGUCUGAUGUGAAAGCCUUCGGCUUAACCGGAGAAGUGCAUCGGAAACUGGGAGACUUGAGUGCAGAAGAGGACAGUGGAACUCCAUGUGUAGCGGUGAAAUGCGUAGAUAUAUGGAAGAACACCAGUGGCGAAGGCGGCUGUCUGGUCUGUAACUGACGCUGAGGCUCGAAAGCAUGGGUAGCGAACAGGAUUAGAUACCCUGGUAGUCCAUGCCGUAAACGAUG